CGUGUUACAAUGGGGGGUACGAGAGGGCCGCUACCACGCGAGUGGAUGCCAACCCCCAAAACCUCUCUCAGUUCGGACUGGAGUCUGCAACCCGACUCCACGAAGCUGGAUUCGCUAGUAAUCGCGCAUCAGCCACGGCGCGGUGAAUACGUUCCCGGGCCUUGUACACACCGCCCGUCAAGCCAUGGGAGCCGGGGGUACCUGAAGUGCGUAACCGCGAGGAGCGCCCUAGGGUAAAACUGGUGACUGGGGCUAAGUCGUAACAAGGUAAC
rnacentral:rRNA from 1 species